AAAAUUGAACAAUUGUAAAAACUUGGCAUUUUUUGGUUCCAACUUCGAAUCAUUUGUUAACGAUAAAUUAUCCUUAACAGAUAUUUCAAUAUUGGUAUUCAUCAUCGGAUAAUGAAUACUAACAUAUGGCGUUAAAAUGUAAAUAAACUAAGAUUGCCUACAGAGAAAAACUGUGUUGAUUUUGAUGGAAAUUAAACUUUGAUAAGAUGUGUAAUCUUAUUUUGAUAAGAUGUAGAUUCUUCAUUAAACUAUGAAAUUAUUAAUAAAAGAAAAACUUCGUGAGGAAACAGUAGAUGUGGUUGUUGAAAAUCAGAAAAUAAAUGUAACUCAAGAAAAUAGCAAAAUAUCUUCUGGUCUCGUCCAAAAUAUCAUUUUCUUAAAAACUCAUAAAACAGGAUCUACAACGGUGACCAAUGUUAUGCAAAGAUAUUCAAAGUUAAAUGGUUUGAAACCAGCUCUACCCUUUUGUGAUCAUAGAUUUUGUUAUCCAAGCAAAUUCGAUGACACAUUUUUAUUCAAGCAUAGCAACAAAGAUAAGUAUAACAUUAUCUUUAACCACGCUGUUUUUAACAAAGAGAACAUGAUCAAAAUUAUGGCUAGUAACAAUACUAAAAUUGUUACAAUUAUUCGAGAGCCAUAUUCGCAGCUUGAAUCUACAGCGAAUUAUUUCGAUUUUAGAAAGUUUUAUUCGCUUAGGAAAGACUUACCUUUGCUAGAAGCACUUUUCAAAAUGUCAGAUGAAGAUAUAAAAAGGUUUCUACAUUCUUCUGACCCCACAAUGGGAGAAGGAGCUUUUUAUUUAACGAAGAAUCCGAACGGUUUUGAUAUGGGUUUUGACGUAUGGAAUGACAGCUCUGAGUAUAUCGACAGUGUAAUACGUCGUAUUGAACGCGAUUUUGAUCUUGUUAUGAUAACAGAGUAUAUGGAAGAGUCGUUAGUAUUGUUAAAAAACGAGUUGAUGUGGGAUUUAAAAGAUGUUAUAUUUUGUGUACAUAAUGCAAGAACGACUCAAGUCCAAAGUACAGAAAAUAUUGAAAAAAUUAAACAAAGAGUUUUUCAGUGGAACAAGUUAGACUAUUUGAUUUACAAUCACUUUAAUCAAACAUUUUGGUUGAAAAUUAAAAAUUUUUCUCCACAAUUUGAAUCAGAGGUGAGAAAGUUAAAACGGUGGAAUCGAUAUUUGCAAAAUCAUUGUAGUUUUAAUAAAUCAUCAGAAUUUUCAAUAUUUUUAAUUAACGACUAUUAUAAAAGAUGCAAAGGUAACUUUUGUACCGAUUUAAAACUUGACGAGGUUGCGUUCACUGAUUGGUUUAAAAGUAUGCGAAGCAAUGAUAAUAUGUAUAGAUAGCUUGCAAAUAUGAGUAUAUCAAUUGUUUAUCAACUUUUACGGAAUCUUAUUCCUUGCAAUGGAAAAAUGGCGAUUAUCAGUUUGGUUUGUAAAUAUUUUAAACUUUAUUUUGAAAUUUUUUUAAAUAUAUUUUUAUAUUUCAAAACAAAAUAAAACUUUCUUAUUUUUAAAAAUAAAAGUAUUUUAAAUUAAAGCUAAAUUUUCAGUCUUUUAAAAGUUUCAGUCGUAAAAAUCAUUUUAUGGCGUCACCAAAGCCCUAUGCUAUUAGGCCGGGUGAAUAAAAAUGAGCAAUUGAUUUUAAUUAGUUAUUGGUCAGCUUUACGUGAGUUUUGGUGAAAUUUUUAUUUACGUAAAGUUAAGCAAUUAACUCAGUAGUUGGUCAGCUUUACGUAAAUAAAGACUUAACGAAAAUUGGUGAAGUUUUUAAUUACGUAAAGCUGACUAAUUACUGAGUAAAAAUAAUUGCUCAUUUUUGUUCACCCGGCCUAUUGAUUAAGAUUACACUCCAACAAUUUUGUAUUUUUUAAUGUUUUUUUUAAAUAGUAGAAACACAUAAAUAAAUAAGUGCUUUCAA
rnacentral:lncRNA from 1 species